rnacentral:tRNA from 1 species
GGGCAUAUGGUGUAGGGGUUAUCAUGAAGUUCGUUUUGCAUUCCAACACCUGCUGGAGCAUCCGUAAAUGUGAAAGGUCUCCGGUUCAAAUCCGGAUUUGUCCA